rnacentral:lncRNA from 1 species
UAAACGAGGGCCGUCAUCCUUCCCCUUUCUGCAGCGACCUUUGUCUAGUCAAGCCGAAGAAGGAGCCUGCGGCGACCGUCGUCGUGAAGAAGGAGCACAAGGCCAUGACCGUCGGCCACGACGUUGACCUCAAAUGGUUGAGCUACGACUAUGUACGGGAGGAGAUGGAGCGUCAUCGCUGCGCGCUGGAGGAGAUCGCCAAGCGGCGUCGCAACCGCGAAGAGGGUGGCAUCAUCGUCCUCUUCGACAGCGACUGCGCCGACCCCGUCCGUCCGCAGCAACGACCCAGCGCAGGGCUGCGACAAGGACGGCGGCGACCCACCGACAACGACGACGGCUACUACACAGCCUUCGGCAUGAACUAAGCUCGGGGCGACGACGACCUAGUUUUUUUAAGGUUUUAUUAUGUAUGUUUAUAAAUCUAUAUAAAUAUGAACAAAAUCUCCUAUAUUUGGUUCAAAUUGAAAUAAUUUUCGUUGAAAUUUGUGUUUGAAAUCGACAAUUGGGGACGAAUUUGAAGCGGCG